GACGAACGCUGGCGGCGUGCUUAACACAUGCAAGUCGAACGGAAAGGCCCUGCUUUUGUGGGGUGCUCGAGUGGCGAACGUGUGAGUAACACGUGAGUAACCUGCCCUUGACUUUGGGAUAACUUCAGGAAACUGGGGCUAAUACCGGAUAGGAGCUCCUGCUGCAUGGAGGGGGUUGGAAAGUUUCGGCGGAGGGGGAUGGACUGGCGGCUUAUCAGCUUGUUGGUGGGGUAGGGGCUUACCAAGGCAUGGACGGGUAGCCGGCCUGAGAGGGGGACCGGCACGACUGGGACGGAGAUACGGCACAGACUCAAAUGGUAGGCGGGGGUGGGGAGGAGUGUACUACGGGAGGGAGCAAGAUGUGACAAAGCCGCGUGGGGGAUGUGGGGAUGCAGGUUGUUAACCGAUUUCGCAUGAGAAGAAGCGUGAGUGACGGUAAUGGGUAAAGAAGCACCGGCUAACUACGUG
rnacentral:rRNA from 1 species